UACGAAGGGGGCUAGCGUUGCUCGGAAUCACUGGGCGUAAAGGGUGCGUAGGCGGGUCUUUAAGUCAGGGGGGAAAUCCUGGAGCUCAACUCCAGAACUGCCUUUGAUACUGAGGAGCUUGAGUCCGGGAGAGGUGAGUGGAACUGCGAGUGUAGAGGUGAAAUUCGUAGAUAUUCGCAAGAACACCAGUGGCGAAGGCGGCUCACUGGCCCGGUACUGACGCUGAGAUGCGAAAGCGUGGGGAGCAAACAGG
rnacentral:rRNA from 1 species